UCCGGUUUGUCACCGGCAGUCUCCCAUGAGUCCCCAACUGAAUGCUGGCAACAUGGAACGGGGGUUGCGCUCGUUGCGGGACUUAACCCAACAUCUCACGACACGAGCUGACGACAGCCGUGCACCACCUGUGAUCCUGCCCCGAAGGGAGGGUGUGUUUCCACACCGGUCAGGAACAUGUCAAGCCCAGGUAAGGUUCUUCGCGUUGCGUCGAAUUAAACCACAUGCUCCGCUGCUUGUGCGGGCCCCCGUCAAUUCCUUUGAGUUUCAGUCUUGCGACCGUACUCCCCAGGCGGGAUGCUUAAUGCGUUAGCGCCGGCACCCGGGGACUAUGUAACCCCGGACACCAAGCAUCCAUCGUUUAAGGCCAGGACUAC
rnacentral:misc_RNA from 1 species